GAUGAACGCUGGCGGCGUGCCUAAUACAUGCAAGUCGAGCGAACAGAUGAGGAGCUUGCUCCUCUGACGUUAGCGGCGGACGGGUGAGUAACACGUGGAUAACCUACCUAUAAGACUGGGAUAACUUCGGGAAACCGGAGCUAAUACCGGAUAAUAUAUUGAACCGCAUGGUUCAAUAGUGAAAGACGGUUUUGCUGUCACUUAUAGAUGGAUCCGCGCCGCAUUAGCUAGUUGGUAAGGUAACGGCUUACCAAGGCAACGAUGCGUAGCCGACCUGAGAGGGUGAUCGGCCACACUGGAACUGAGACACGGUCCAAACUCCUACGGGAGGCAGCAGUAGGGAAUCUUCCGCAAUGGGCGAAAGCCUGACGGAGCAACGCCGCGUCAGUGAUGAAGGUCUUCGGAUCGUAAAACUCUGUUAUUAGGGAAGAACAAAUGUGUAAGUAACUAUGCACGUCUUGACGGUACCUAAUCAGAAAGCCACGGCUAACUACGUG
rnacentral:rRNA from 1 species